rnacentral:rRNA from 1 species
GAUGAACGCUGGCGGCGUGCCUAAUACAUGCAAGUCGAGCGAACAGACGAGGAGCUUGCUCCUCUGACGUUAGCGGCGGACGGGUGAGUAACACGUGGAUAACCUACCUAUAAGACUGGGAUAACUUCGGGAAACCGGAGCUAAUACCGGAUAAUAUAUUGAACCGCAUGGUUCAAUAGUGAAGGACGGUUUUGCUGUCACUUAUAGAUGGAUCCGCGCCGCAUUAGCUAGUUGGUAAGGUAACGGCUUACCAAGGCGACGAUGCGUAGCCGACCUGAGAGGGGGAUCGGCCACACUGGAACUGAGACACGGUCCAGACUCCUACGGGAGGCAGCAGUAGGGAAUCUUCCGCAAUGGGCGAAAGCCUGACGGAGCAACGCCGCGUGAGUGAUGAAGGUCUUCGGAUCGUAAAACUCUGUUAUUAGGGAAGAACAAAUGUGUAAGUAACUAUGCACGUCUUGACGGUACCUAAUCAGAAAGCCACGGCUAACUACGUG